rnacentral:lncRNA from 1 species
CACGAAUGUCAGGUCUAAUCACGUGUAAAAUGAGUUCAUUACCACUCACAUGCGCAUUCUUCGAAUUAGGCACUUUUAGGUUUAAAUCUACACACAUUUUCCAUAUCACUACACUUUAUGGUUUCGUCACCUUUCUGGUGUCUGCCAGUACAACUCGAUUCAAAGUCCAGGUGGACAUUUUGGGUCAAGUUGUGUUAUUAUCCCUAUUUUUAUCCAAGAGUUUUUUGUUUUUUCAUUGGAUCUGUUCAUUUUUAUUAUGUUAAGAAUCUAAUCAAUUAGAAUUUUAAAUUUUUUUGCUAUUUUAAUGUUUUGAUUGGUUUUGAUUGCAUUGUGCAAUUCAAUCUUUUUUUUUUAUUGAGAUUCUGAUUGUAUCUACACAUUCUAAUUAUUUUAUUUGGACUAGUAACUCAACAGUAGAGUACUCGGCUUUUUAGUGCGGCUAGCAUCUUUUACACAUUUGUAUGUAGCAAAAGAUUCAUCCAUACCAUAUGUAGAGUUUGUAAGACCACAACUAAUCCAGAAAUGAAUGAAUGGAAAAAUCAGCAUGUCGUAUCAAUGGAUAAUUCAGAGAAUAUUUCAUUCUUACCGAAUAGGUCCAAAACCUUAUUUAAAAAUUUUGAAUUCUUGUCGUGUAAUAAAAUAAAUGAAUUUGGUCGAGUGAAUAAAUGGGUAAAGCCCUACUACGGUUCCAAUUAUAGGGAAACAAAAAGUAAUGAGCUUCUGUUCUUAAUUUUUGAAUGAUUACCCGAUCUAAUUAGAUGUUAAAAAAUAUAUUAGUUCUUAAUACGGGAAAAACUUUUCCCAUGAGUGGAUUAUAAAUUCUUAUGAGUCCUAAUUAUUAGCUAUUACCUAUUAUGGGUUAGAGAUAAAUGUGUAGAAGAAGGUAGUAUAGUGAUAAAGAUUAUUCAAAAUCAAAAGAGCGAUUGGAUUGAAAAAAAUAAAGGACUUCUAACCAUCUUGUUACCCUAGAAUGAACAUAAAUCAAUUAGAUGAAAAAAGAGAGGCUAGAGAGUCUGUUGAAGAGUCUUACUUGUUCCGAGGUAUUUUCUUACUAUAAUACCUUGUUUUGACUUUAUUGUACUAUGUAUCAUUUGAUAACCCAAUAAAUCCCCUAUUUCUUUUCUUGUUCAAAUUUAAAAUGGAAGAAUUUCAAGGAUAUUUAGAACUACCUUGUUUUGACUGUAUCGUACUAUGUAUCAUUUGAUAACCCAAAAUUCACUUAUUUCUUUUCUUGUUCAAAUUUAAAAUGGAAGAAUUUCAAGGAUAUUUAGAACUAGAUAGACAUCAGCAACAUGACUUCCUAUACCGACUUAUCCUUUGGGAGAAUAUUUAUGCACUUGCUCAUGAUCAUGGUUUAAAUAGGUCGAUUUUGUUGGAUAAUGUAGGUUAUGACACUAAAUAUAGUUUACUAAUCGUAAAACGUUUAAUUAGUCGAAUGCAUUAGCAAAAUCAUUUGAUUAUUUCCGCUAAUGAUUCUAAUCAAAAUCAAUUUUUUUGGGUACAUCAAAAUUUGUAUUCUCAAAUGUUGUCAGAGGGAAUUGCAGUUAUUCUAGAAAUUCCGUUUUCCCUACGAUUAGUAUCUUCCUUAGAGGCGACAGAAAUUGUAAAAUCUUAUCAUUUACGAUCAAUUCAUUCAAUAUUUUCUUUUUUUAGAGGAAAAAUUCCCACAUUUAAAUUAUGUAUCAGAUGUACUAAUACCCUACCCCAUUCAUCUGGAAAUCUUGGUUCAAACCCUUCGCUAUUAGGUAAAAGAUCCAUCUUCUUUACAUUUAUUAAGACUCUUUCUUCACGAAUGUUAUAAUUUGAAUAGUCUUAUUACUCCAAAAAAAAAAGUGAUUUUUUUCAAAAUGUAAUCCACAAUUAUUCUUGCUCCUAUAUAAUUCUCAUGUAUGUGAAUACAAAUCCAUUUUACUUUUUCUUCGUAAUCAAUCUUCUCAUUUACGAUUAGCCUCUUCUGGUAUCUUUUUUUUAGUGAAUACAUUUCUAUGGAAAAAAAAAUCUUGUAGAAGUCUUCGUUAAUGAUUUUCCGACUGCCAUCUUAUGGUUCUUUAAGGAUUCUUUUAUGCAUUAUGUUAGAUAUUGAUUUUUCUUUGAAUGAUACCCCUGAUAUCAAGGAAAAUCAAUUCUUUCUUUGAAUGAUACCCCUUUUCUGAUGAAUAAGUGGAAAUAUUAUCUUGUCAAUUUUAUGGCAAUGUCAUUCUUAUGUGUGGUCUCAACCAGGAAGGAUUUAUACAAACCAAUUAUCCAAGCAUUUCCUUGAUUUUUUUUUUUUUGGGUUAUUAUUCAAGUAUGCGACCAAACCUUUCGGUGGUACAUAAUCAAAUGCCAGAAAAUUCAUUUAUAAUGGAUAAUGCUAUAAGAAGAUUGAUACAUUAGUUCCAAUUAUUCCUUUGAUUGGAUUUUGAUAUUAUUGAUCAAUUUGUGCAUAUAUGCAUAAAUCUUUCUCAUUAUUACAAUGGAUCCUCAAGAAAAAAAAGUUUAUAUCGAAUAAAAUAUAUAUGUGGCAUCCCGUUCUCAGACUUAUUGUAUUUUCUUCUCAGUUGUAGUGAAAUUAUCAAAACGGCCCUGAGAUGCCAAGCAGGCCUUCCACGUGAACCUCAAUUUUCCCUUCAUUUUUCAAUUCUUAUUUUUACGAACACGUGACCGCAGGCAUGACUCAAUUUAGAGUUAUAAUGAACUAAUUACGUGUAAAACUACUGGGACAAUUUUAAAACUUGAAUUAUGACCUUGUGCAGUGUGCAUCACUGCCUUGUUGCGAUGGGAGACUGAUUUUGUGCAGUAUACCCGUGUGAAUCAUGCAUCGGCCUUAUUAAGGGGUGGUUUGGGAGUGAUGUGCUUAAAAAAACAAGCACCCAUGAAAAAAAGCUGUGAGGGUUUUAGGUGUUUGGUAAACUGAAAAAAUAAAAUGGCUUAUUUUGGAAGCUGCUGUGAGAAUAAGCUGAAAUCAAAGGAAAAAGCUGAAGCCGCUAUUUGCAGCUUUGGAAAACUGACUUUUUUUCAAAGCACACGGAGCUACAGUGCUCCUUUAAUGAAAAGACCCACUAUCAGACUGCUUUUUUUUACCAAAAGCACUUUUACAAAAAAGUUUACCAAACACUUUGCUGAUUUAUUUCACAGCCGCUUAUUCUCACAAUACAGCCGCUUAUUCUCACAGCAAUUUUUUUUUAAAGCACAGCAAUACCAAACCAGCAUUGCAUAUCAAUGUUUACCCUUAAAUCUUUAUUAUUAUAUUGUCGCAAAUGGAUAUUACAUAAGUAUUUAUUUAGGUUUUAAACACCCCACUCUCCCACUCCAUCAGACACCAUCAUUACUUUUCCACUAUUACAUGUCUCUCACUUCUUCUCUCUCGUCCCAUUCCCCAUUUUUAUUCGGACAAGGAUUGUCUGCCCUCCUAGUUGUGGUGCCCUUCCAUACCCUCCUAUUUUGUGCUGUCACGGUUAAGCCACGUCAAUAUUUUAUAUUUUUAUUGUUUUUUGUCUUAUUAUCUCAUUAAAAAAUUAAUAUAAAAUGUUGAUGUGGCUUAACCGUGACCGCACAAAAUAGGAGAGCAUGGAAGGGCACCACAACUAGGAGGGCAGACAAUCUGCCUCCUUUUUGUUCUCAUGUCAGCCGGCCCUCUCUCAACUCCUCACUCAACCAUCAAUAUACAUCAUUACUCACUCUUUCUUCCACAUUAAACCACACAUCACCAUCACUCCCUCUUUUUCCCUUCACUCUAGCCGGCUCACUCUCCCUCCCAAUACCUCACACACACACACACACACACACACACACACACACACACACACACACACACUCUCUCUCUCUCUCUCUCUCUCUCUCUCACAUCCCACUGACAUCUCUCCCGCACCUUUCUUAACUCUCUCCUGCAGCUCUCCUUAUCCUUGCACACUCAAUUCUUCCUCUCGGCGCAACCCAGGUGGCCACCAUACCACGUCCAAACAUGACCCAAAUUCACUGAAAAAUCACCUAAACUUCUAGAACUUGCCCCUAUACUUGAGAAAGCAAGAAAUAGGGAGAAAACGAAGGAAUUCUAAGAUAAAAAAAUGAACAAACCCGACGAAUCGAAGCCCUCCAUCUCAGUAAGGUGAACCUCCCUCCUUUAAUCUGGCCUUUUCUAGUGCGUUUUACAAGCUUGCAUGCAAGUUUCUGUGCGCUUAACGUUUGUUCAAUGGUCUGUGAUGCAUCAUUUAUCUCUUCAAAUUCGUAAGAAUUCCUGGAAUGGGAAUGCAAAGCUCUACAAUCUUCAAGAAACUUCGCAUUAUUGGUCUCCACUAUUCUGGUGAAUGCAUUAGCACAGUAGAACCUGAAACCUUUGGAUUUUUCUACAUAACCCACAAAAUAACAACUAGUGGUCCUCAUGUCUAAUUUCUUUUCAUUGGGAUUAUAGAGUCUAGAUUCACACCUACAACCCCAAGUAUGAAAGUGAGCUAGACUAGGCUUUCUUCUUGUCCAUCUUUCAAAUGGUGUGGAUGCAACAGCUUUAGUUGGUACUCGAUUUAAAAUGUAAGUUGCUGUUUUGAUUGCUUCUCCCCAAAGAAAUUCUGGCAUUUGUGAAUGAGAGAGCAUACUCCUUACCAUCUACUUCAAGGUCCAGUUUCUUCGUUAUGCAAUGAUUUGAUAUAAACUAACACACAAAUUAAACCCUCUUUUUGACAAGGGGUGUGAUAUCCUCACACCCCAUUUUACUUCUCACACAUCUUUUUACUUUUCGGCCAUCGAAUAGGAUGAAUUGAAGAAGAUCAACGGACAGAAAUUAUCAAAGGGUGUGUGAGAAGUAAAAUGGGGUGUGUGGAUAACACACCCCUUUUGACAAUUGUAGUAUGGAUAAAUAGGGAUCGUUCUAGGCCAGAGAUUAGGAGGGACUGCUAAUCAACUCAAAUUAGACUCAAUUAUACGUAACUAGACUUGAAAACACUAAAUUAGACUCUUAUGACUUAAAAUUGACUCAAACUACUCAAAACAGCACAAAACAAGCAAACUGACUCAAAACUAACACUAAGGAUGACUUUAGACGAAUUUUGAACUAAAAAGAUUCAAAACAUUAAAAAGACACCAAUUGGACAGAUUCUAACCUAAAGACACGAAAUAUAAAAGGGGGUUUUGUUUUUGACGAAUUUAAAACUUAAACUUAGUUCUUGGAGACACAAACUAAAGCUAAUACAAAUUUAGGGUGUUUUAAGGGUGAAUGGCUAGCUAGAGGGUCAUUCUCCACACAUGACACAUAUGCAUACGAAUCGAUUUCCAGUUACUCUUCCUAUAAACCAUGAAUGACAACGCCCCAAAUUAACCGUGAACAACACUAAUUAACCCUCAGAUUUUCCUAAGUUCAUUGAAUUGAACUCAGCAUCGCAACCAAAUUAUUCUUAUUAAGUUCCCUACAUGAACAGCAUGAUAGAGAUACGUAUCAAAGAUCAUUAAGUUCUAUGAAAAUCAUAAGCAUUGACAAGGCAUUCGUAACUAUGAACAACAUGAUACUCCUGCUAAGAAUUCACUUAACACAAUCAUGACUAGUGACUUUUACUACUUGUGAAUAUAAGUUCAUAACGAUUAGGUGAAAUUCCCUUAUAUUCUAGCAUCAAAUCCUUGCAUGCAAACUAAAUAGGCCUCCUUAAUCAACACACAAGAACAAGUUAUCAAUCAAACAGAUAAGUAAAUUACAUUCACGAUUUAUGAAAUCAUAACUGGAUGUAAUCAAUUCAUAUCACAUAUAUGUUCAUGGCUUUGAAUUCGCCUCUAGCCAAAACGAGUUUAGUUCCUCAUGUUUGCAAUUAAACAAAGAUAACUUAAAUUAAACAUUGAAAAUAAAAGAUAGAAAACACCUAAGAACGCUCCAGCAAUCCAAUCUUGAAUGGCAGGGCACGGCAAAGGGUCUCCUCUCCUUUCUCCUUGCAAAGCUGCGGCACAAAAAGGGAUUUAUGAGUAUGAUGGAUGUAUGGUGCGAAUUUGUGGUGAAAGGUGGGUAAAUUAUGAGGGAUGCAACACAAUAUAUUUAUAGGAAGAGGGAAGGCACGACAAGGGUGCGAAAGAAGAGGAUUAGGACUCCAAAUUAGCAAGGAAAGAGGACACUUCUAAUCAGAUUCCAGGGAGGAAAAUGAGUAGUCUUUGCAUCAGGAAAUAGAGCUUCUAGAAAGGCUAGGUGCGGCACCAAUUUAGGGAUAGGGUCUUGGCUUCUAGAAACCUGAUUUGUAGGUAUCCUAAUCUGAAAAUAAGUACCCCUUGCAACUGGAAUUAAGGUAGAUUAGGAUUAGGAUAGGAUAAGAUAAAAUAAGGUUGGAUAAGGUUUUGGAUAAUGUUCCUUCUUUUUAGCUGAUUCCUUAUCUUCUUUGUCUUAAAUUCAUUCUUCCAGAUUUGUAGCACAUUCCUAGCCUCUUUGAACUUCAAAAACGUCCAUCCACCUUGCUCCAUUCAUAUGUUAUCCAUUCUUGGCCCAAAACUGCUCUAAAAUGCUCCAAAUUGCACUUUCUUGCCAACUUUGUCAUUUGGACCUACAAACACACGAAAAUAGCUUAAGACACUACAAUAAGUAGAAACUAGCUAUGAAAAUGCAAGAAAACAAGCUAACUAAGUCGCAUAAAUAUGCUCCUAUCAUGCAACACCAUUUUGUGAUGGUGUACCAGGAGUUGUAUAUUGAGCUGCAAUUCCUUCUUGUUCUAGAAAAAUGGCAAAUGGUCCCUUAUGUUGUCCUUUCUCUAUGCACAUUCCACAAUAUUCACCUCCUCGAUCGGACCUUACAACUUAAUUGAUUUCCCCAAUUGUUUUUCAACCUUUAACUUAAAUUUUUUAAAACAAGUUAAAACUUGAGACUUUUCAGAGAUCAAAAAUAUAAAAGUGUAUCUGGAAAAAUCAUCUAUGAAAAGAACAAAGCAUGAAUUGCCACAUAUGGUUUUUGUUGGAAAUGGUCCACAUACAUCAGUGUGUAUAAUCUCUACAAGAUCAUUACUUCUUGUUUCUGUCUUUUUGCUUGUUGAGUUUGUGGUUUUGCCCUUAAUGCAGUUAAUACAUUCUGCAGAUUCAUUAACGUUCAAUCUUGGCAAAAUACCAUCUUUGAUUAACCUCAUUAUCCUUUCUUUCAAGAUAUGACCAAGUCUUGGAUGCCAAAGCAUAUAAGAUUUGUCAUCAGAGGACACACGUUUUGUGGCUGAAUGUUCUAUAUUGAACUUGCCAAAGAUCGCCAUUGGGAAAUGCAUAACCAAUAAAAUUGUCAAACUGAUUCUUGAAGUAAAAUUUAAUUUGAUUAACAUCCACUGCAAAUGAAAAACCAUCCUUGACAAUUUGAAUUACAAAAAAUAAGUUCCUUCUCAUGGAAGGAACAUAAAGUACAUUACUUAAAUUUAAAACAUAACUAAUUGAUAAUCUCAGUUUGACAGAACCAACAAACUCAACUACAACUUUAUUCCCAUUUCCAACAUAAACAUUAUAGAUCUCCUUACUUGUUCUCUUCUGGCUUUGAAAUCCCUGAAAAGAAUUUGUUAUAUGUAUUGAACAACCUGUGUCAAACCACCAAGAGUUUUGAGGAAUGAACACCAUAUUUGACUCCACUGUCACAAAAACAUUAAUUAUUUUGUUACCUUUCUUGAUUAACCAAGCUUUAAAACCAGGACAAUCAUUUCUUAAGUGAUCCUGAUAAUGACAAAAAUGACAUCUUUUGACACCACUGUUAUUAUUCUUAGGUCCAUAAGCAAUGGAGGUUGCUUGAGUUUUUGCAGGUAACACAGUGGACUUGAACUGCUUCUUGGAACCAGAAGUUGUGCCAGCAGUUGACACAGAUUUCUUGAAUGCAAUUGACUUCUUUCCGUGUGUUAUAACUCACUUUCAGUUGCUCAUAAUCAUUGGAUAAAGAGUACAGCGCCAUGUGCACAAGAAAUUGAUCUGUAAUACCAAUAUCCAUUGCAUUCAACUUAUUUGCAAUGUUGACCAAUUUUAACAAAUGCUCACGAAUGCUCCCAUAACCAUCAUGUUUUGUGUUAAUGGGUGCUGACAAACAUGCACUAGUUUCAACCUUGUCUGACCUCUUGAACUUCUCUUCAACUCUGUCCAUAUAAUUCUUAGCCAAAUCACAGCUAGGAAUUCCUCCUCUGAUGUGUUCCUCCAUCGAAUUCUGCAUGAUAAGCAAGGACAUUUGAUUUGCCCUAUCCCAUCUUGCAAAGAAUUCUUUCUUGUGCGGUACUCUGAUCUGUCAAUGCAAAAGGUUGAGGAACCUUGAAUGCUAUGUUAAACUCCAACAUACCAAGAUUCAUUUCAAUAUGCUGCUUCCAUGCGAAAUUAUUGCCAUUCAAUUUUUGUACAUUCACCAAACUCAUCAUAUUGAAACCUAUGAUACCACAUGUAAACAUAUUUAUGUAUAAGGAUCGAUUCCAACUAAACCAAUAUGACAGUGCUUGAAACGAUAAUUAAAAUUGUGCAUGAUCAUAUUAAAUGCAGUAUGUGCAUGGUUAGGGUUUGUGACAGUAUAAGAAAUAUAUUUACUUGGAGCGGAAGACAACGAAGCCAUGAUCUUGUCUUCUUUUCUCUUGGAUUCAAAAAUAGUAUCUCAAUACUCUCAAUAGGAUUGGUAUUCGAUAUGAGAACAAGUAGCACCUGAGAAGAGAGAUCAAAAUCGACUUUAUAUGAUGCAACUGCAUCUCCCUAUCAGAGAUGCAGUUACUGUCAGUUUGUGUAGGUUACAACUGCUCUUCAUUUGAAUUGGUAACCACCUUUAGUUUUCCCUCUAAUAUAGAAUUAAUCCGGUGCAAUUCAUAUAAUUGAGUCCUUACAUAAUACAACCCUUUCACUUAUAUAUUUGCACUGUGGUUUAAAUGACACUCACAUAUAAGUCAUUCUUAACACUGCUUAUCCCUAACUUUAAUCUUUCAUGACUCUCCCUUCUAUCGCUCACCCAAAUCGCAAGCACAACCCACGCGACAACCAUCCAAACCCAAACCGACCUUGGAGAUCAAGAUUGUAUAUAAAUUAUAUUGCAAUUUUCAUUUUGGUCCAUGAAUUUAGUAACGAUUAUGUAGUGCUCACACAUUUGUCUUGCAAUUUGCAGGUUGAUCCAUAAAUUCAAUAUAUGUAGCGCACAAACUUUUAUCUUGCAAUUUUCAUUUUGAUCCAUGAAUUAAUGAGUAAUGUUAGGGAGACUAAAUUUGUAGACAAAAUUUGCAAACUAAAUGAUGUAUCGCCAAUAAGAAUGAGCACGUUUAUCAACGUUUAAGUAAUAAUCCAAUCAUCAACUUCUAUAUCAUUUAGUUUAUACAAUUUUAUUUACAAAUUUAGUUUCUUUAGCAUAACCCUGAAUUAAGUUAUUAAAUUAUAUUGUCAUCAUGCUUCUGGCUUACAUGUGACAUUUCAUCACAACUCGUGUUUUUGAAUAAAAUUGAGUUAUUGAAGAGGGCUUGUGCCAUUGUGAAAAUCAAGCACCUUUGUGGCCCUUUUUAUCGAGAUUCGAGACUCUUCUAUAGGUCUAUUUGCUCCCCAUGGUGAAAAUCACGUACAUGGUGAAAACACACUUCUUCAUAUCUUCUACAUAGAUCUUGUUUGUACCAUACUUGACCAAUCCCGAAACUACCGAGCACCGGCCAACGCUAUACUGUCAAGGACCCAGAAGAGUUCCCCUCCGACCAGGAGGCCAAUCACUACUCGACACGUGUCAAGAUUAGAAGCCAAUCAGAGCGCAGCACGUGUCGACAUCAAGAACCAAUCAUAACAUGACACAUGUCAAUGUGACAAAGCUACAAGUUUUUCUAUAAAUAGGGGUCAUUCCCCCACAAUAUUGCCUAAUGCCAUUUGUGUUAAAUCAUUCACAAGAACUCACUAAAUUGAGAGCUUGAUCCUUUGUACUUGUGUAAGCCCUUCACUACUAAUAAGAACUCCUCUACUCCGUGGACGUAGCCAAUCUGGGUGAACCACGUACAUCCUGUGUUUUGCUUCUCUGUCUCUAUUUAUUUACGUACUUAUCCUCACUAGUGACUGAAGCAACCAAGCAACCAAGCGAAGGUCACAAAACCUGACACUUUCUGUUGUACCAAAGUCUUCGCUGAUUUUUGUGCAUCAACAUUUGGCGCCGUCUGUGGGAAACGACACUUAUUCCUACUCUCUUCUUCAGCUGUGUCAAGCUGGUUUCUAUCAUUCGUACACUUUCUUUUGACCAGGCAUCCCUCUCCAACAUGGGAAGCGAAGGAAGCCACAGCACACAGAAUGACACCCCCCUUGCACAUAGUGCGAAACAACGAAAGAAGGAAGGAAAACGAGUUCUUCUUCAAGCUAAAGUCGAUGAGUUGGAAGCUCAGAACAACAAGAUAGCAAUGAGGAAUGAGGUCCUCCAGGAGCAAUAUGAGAAGCUCUUCGAGACACUCCACGAAGCUAGGCAAGCUCAGACACGCGAGCUUGUUGCCCCUGUGGAAGUCAACCAUCAACUGGGUGCCCUCCAACAUGGAGGGUCACAUGCAUUCGACAUAGAUAUCCCUGAUAGGGAACAUAUUACCCCUCGACUUGAUAAUCAACAUGAGGCUUCUCUUAACCCAGUUGCUUCGACCCGAACCAUGAGAAGUGGAGGGAGACACCUCUUUGCUGAAGGGGCAGAAGGAUCGAAAGCCGUCUUUCGCGAUUGUCGGGAUUUCCUGAAGCAACGUCGAGAGAAUUCCAUCCAUAUAAGCUCAAAGAUUAAUGACCCAAGGAUUUCUGAGAGACUCGGUCCCCUGCCACGGCCCAAACCGGCCACCAAUUUGGGGAAGGGGCAACAAGUCCUAGAGAGACAUGAGGGUACAGGGGACUCAGAGGUGUUCCGACAAACAUACCCUGGAAGCCAGUACAGCGAGUCCAGGGAAAAAUCACAUGCCCUUGAUCAAACCUUCCUAAUUCCAAUAGGAGAUGGAGAUUUACGAAAGAAAGCUCCAGUGACACAUAACUCCGCUCAGGACCCCCUUGUCCUACAACUUCUUGAGGAAGUAAACAAGUUGAAGGCUGAACGUCAGGCUGAAAUACCUGACUGGAACCAACCCAGGCCUGGCCCUCUUACAAGGAGGAUCCUCAACACCCCCUUCAAGCAAAGACAAAGCAAAAGCUUGGCUUGCAACUUUAUACUGGAAAAGAGGACCCGAUUGAGCACCUUAACCUCUUUGAGUCCACCAUGGCAUACCGGAUGCACACCGACGAAGAGCGAUGUCUUCUCUUCCCCUCCACCCUCUCUGGUGGAGCUCUAAAUUGGUAUUGUCGUCUUACACCUGAGACGGUAGACUCAUUUGAGGAAUUGAGGAAACUAUUUGUUUCCCAACACAUUUUCCAAACCGAUCGCUUGCACUCUGCAGAUGACUUGUACACUAUCCGCCAGAAGCCAGACGAGUCAUUACGUAUGUAUGCUGGCCGCUUCAGCCAUGAAUACUCCCGGUGUGCCGAGGCAGACGACAAGACUGCCCUCAAAGCCUUCACGGCAGGCCUACGUGAUUGUUUCUUUAAAUACAUGAUCAAUGCCAAUACUUGGAAGACUUACUCUGAGGUGAUGGCGCAGGCUUAUAACCAUGCCUCCGCCGAGGCAAAGACAUAUCAGGAGUCCCCCAAAUGAUAAAGUCCAGGCUAAGCAAAUUCGAUACAAGUCUACCCGCUACCUGAUCAUCAAUGAUCAACUCUAUAAGCGAGGUUUUAGCCUGCCAUACUUAAGGUGUCUUACGCCUGCCGAGGCGGAAAUCGUCCUUCGGGAAAUACAUGAGGGAGUCUGUGGAGAUCAUGCUGGAUCUCGGUCCCUAGCACACAAGACUUUUCGCCAAGGAUAUUACUGGCCAACACUCCACCAGGAUGCCAUCAAAGUAUCCCGCUCAUGUGACAAAUGUCAACGAUAUGCAACUAUUCCUCAUUCCCCUCCAGAGCCUCUUACUCCUAUGAUCAGCCCUUGGCCCUUCGCCCAGUGGGGACUUGAUUUGAUCGGCCCAAUGCCGGCAGGGAAGGGCAAAGUCUGUUACGCAGUCGUUGCAGUGGACUACUUCACAAAGUGGGCCGAAGUAGAACCCUUGGCAACCAUUACUGAGGCAAAGAUAGAAGACUUCGUGUGGAAGAACAUCCUUUGUAGAUUCGGCAUUCCCAAUGCGAUAGUCACUGACAAUGGGCGACAGUUUGACAACAAGAAGUUCAGGUUGUUCUGCUCUAAGUUCAACAUCAACUUAUGCUUUGCCUCUCCAGCUCAUCCCCAGUCUAAUGGACAGGUUGAGGCCAUCAACAAAAUAAUCAAGCGCACUUUGAAAACCAGCUUGGACAAAGCUAAAGGCUGUUGGCCAGAAUUUGUACCCCAAGUUCUUUGGUCAUAUCGCACUUCAUAUCGGACUUCAACAGGAGAAACUCCAUUCUCACUUGCCUUUGGCACAAAGGCGUUUGUCCCUGUUGAGCUCGAGCAAGCAACAUUCCGAGUCCAGAACUACAUUCAAAGUGAAAAUGACAAACAACUCACCCUCAACUUGGAUUUAGUCGAGGAACACAGAAACCAAGCUCACUUGAGGAAUGUCGCCUACAAGCAGCGCAUCUCCAACUAUUAUGACUCUAGGGUCAAGCCUCGUUCUUUCAAAAUAGGAGACUGGGUCUUAAAGAAAAUAUUACUCUGCGACAGAGUCCCGAGUGAAGGCACACUUAGUCCAAACUGGGAUGGACCGUAUGAAGUCAUUGGCAUCAGUCGCCCUGGCUCUUACACACUUAGAAGCUCUGAUGGCAAGACCCUUGGCCAUCCAUGGAACGCUGAUCACUUGAAGUACUACUACAAAUAGACUCACGAUGUACAAGUGUUGAGCUAUAGCCGUUCGGCAUCCUAUGUAAUGAAGGCCAUUUGGCAAUGAAUUCAAUAAAGAGGUAAUUUAGCCAACUCAGCCCUCACUCUUUUACAUUCAUAGCAAGCGAUGCCAGAACCCUUCUCAAUCAGAAAGCAAUCCGUCUUCCACAGUCACUACAAAACAAGCAAAUGAAGACCGUGUCAAGCGCCAAAAAAAAAAAAAAAAAAAAAAAAAAAAAACAGCUUCAUCCAAAAAGCUUCACCCGAAAAGCUUCACCCGAAAAGCUUCACCUCCAAAGCUUCACCCACAAAGCUUCACCCAAAAAAAAAAAAAAAACUUCACCCGAAAAGCUUCACUUAAACAAGCUUCACCUCCAAAGCUUCACCUAAAAAAUCUUCACCUAGAAAGCUCCCUCUACAUACUUUCACCAUCAAAGCUUCACCUAGAAAGCUUCAUCUACAAAGCUUCACCAUCAAAGCUUCACCUAGAAAGCUUCAUCUACAAAGCUUCAUCUACAAAGCUUCACCAUCAAAACUUCACCUAGAAAGCUUCACCUACAAAGCUUCAACACAAAACCUUGCUCCAAAUAAACAAAUUUUGUUCACAAAACCCAAGAUGCCCUUGAACUUGUACAAAAACACUUGGGUAAACAUAAACAUUUUUUGUUUUACACCCACAAGGGCCCAAAUUUUUCCUUCUUAUUUAUUCACUUAUAUAUGUUCCCAAACAUAUUAUAAUAGAUCCAACAACAAGCCAAAGUCCCAAGUUUCAUAAUGGACAAAAGUACAAGCAAUUCAUCAAUAAUGAAGGUGCUACAAAAAUUGGAAUCUGCCCCAAAAUAGAAAUCCAAUCGAAGAGACUUUUUCUCUCUCUCCCUCUUCCGCCUCCUUUCAUCUAUCAAAUUUCUGCAACCUCUGCUCUUCUCCAAUGGAGCUGAAUUUUGGACACCCUAUAGUUCUUGAGCAUAUGAACAACUUUCAAGAAGGAACCAUUUCUGUUUGAGCGACGGAAAUUACAGUGUUGAAGCUCCAAACAUGAUAGUCGGCUUCUUGCAGAUUUCGAAGCUGUUGUGAUGUUUCGAAGAUCUGGAAAUAUUUAACCGUUAGUUCAUCCUGAAUUUUUGAUAUGUUAUGAAAGAGUCGAUGAGGAACAACUUCAAUGAAGAAAGCAUACCGAUCUGAACAAGAGAAAAUGGAGUUUCGAAGCUCACAACAAAUCUGACGGGUUGACAGAAAAAUAAUAACCAGUCAUUCAUCAUACCUGGAUUUCUGGAGUUAUACUGCUCCGAGGGAUCUCAAAUUUGGAUAUGUUGUAGUUCACAAGCUGAGGAACAACUUCAAUGAAGAAAGCAUACCGAUCUGAACAAGAGAAAAUGGAGUUUCGAAGCUCACAACAAAUCUGACGGGUUGACAGAAAAAUAAUAACCAGUCAUUCAUCAUACCUGGAUUUCUGGAGUUAUACUGCUCCGAGGGAUCUUAAAUUUGGAUAUGUUGUAGUUCACGAAGCUGAGGAACAACUUCAAUGAAGAAAGCAUACCGAUCUGAACAAGAGAAAAUGGAGUUUCGAAGCUCACAACAAAUCUGACGGGUUGACAGAAAAAAUAACCAGUCAUUCAUCAUACCUGGAUUUCUGGAGUUAUACUGCUCCGAGGGAUCUCAAAUUUGGAUAUGUUGUAGUUCACAAGCUGAGGAACAACUUCGAUGAAGAAAGUAUGUUGAUCUGAACAAGAGAAAAUGGAGUUUCGAAGCUCACAACAAGUCUGACGGAUUAACAGAACAUUGAUGAACAGUUACUCAUCAUACUUGAAUUUCUGAAGUUGUACUACUCCGAUGGAUCUCAAAUUUGGAUAUGUUGUAGUUCACAAGAUAAGGAAAAACCUUUCAUGAAGACGACUUUGCAAUCUGAGCUAUAGAGAAAGGUGUUAUCUUGCAUCCACUCAGGCUGAUUAGUGGAAACGAAAAGCAAUUCCACCAAAGAAAAGAUGAAAAAGAGAGAAAAGCUACUAAUUGCACUUGAUCUUGUCUAGUCAAUAGCAUGCAGCAUCAAACACACAAAAGUUGGAAAUAUUUUUAGAUAAAGCAUAUACGAAUGUGUGACAUCGAAACAAGGAUUCGUUACUUUGACAAAUUAGUAACACGCGAGACACCUCAUUCGGCAACUCUCUUCGCCUGAAGACUUGGGGGACUCCCACCAUAUGCUACUGCACCUUGAUACUCGGCAGUCUCACAACCACUCAGUGACUUGGAUUUUUCAAGUCUCCAACCGAGAAGUUUUCCUCACUUGGGAAAUUAAGGGAACACUACCUCAAACUACAUGCUUCACUCACAAAGCUUCAACAAUACAGGUUUCAACAAAAGCAAAAAUUCAAAGAACUUUAUGAAGAAGGCUUUGGUGUAUUUAACACAAUAUGUUGAAAUGAAGCAAAGCUUAUUUAUUAAUAUUUUCGAUAAGCCACAAAUAUGUACAUAUACAUGAGUCAAAAUAAACAAACAAAAGGGAGCCUUCACAAAGGUUGCUUAGGGGAAGUCUCAGCAGUUGGUAGAGCCCCAGAAAGAGAAAGCACCGGAGGGUGGUUAUCCGGAGCCUCAGUACUUGACAAAACCCCAGAAGGAGGAGGCAUUGGAGGUUCAUCAUUUGAAGCUUCAUUACCAGGUACAGCCCCAGAGGACGAAGGCAAUAAAUGCCUUUGGAACAAAACCCACAAACCGCUGAUGAUCAAGUAAAACCUUACCAUCAGAUUCCUUCAUCUGGUCAAGCUUCCUCUUCAUGUUUGUAGCAUAGUCAUGGGCGAGCCGGUGCAACUGCUUAUUCUCAUGCUUGAGCCCUCUAAUCUCCUGUUUGAGACUCAUCACUUCAGCAGCCAAUGAUUCAACUUGGCGGGUUCUAGCAAAUAGGCGUUGGGCCAUAUUAGACACAGAACCUGCACACUGAACACUAAGAGCCAGAGAGUCCUUAACAGCCAACUCAUCAGACCGUUUGGAAAGUAGUCUGUUAUCUUUGGGAGUGAGAAGGUUCCUGGCCACCACUGCAGCGGUCAUAUCAUUCUUCAUCACAGAAUCCCCAACGGUAAGAGGACCAGUAGGGGAUAUGAAGGAUGGGCGCCAUAUGUUGUCUGGAGAAGGCAUGGCUGUCUCUUCUCCAAGGUUCAAGUCAAAACGACGGUCGGAGGGUCCAGACAUUUUCAAAUGUGUUGAAGAAGGAAGAGGUCAGACAAAUCAAGAUCUUAGAAGUGCAAGAAAUGAGCUUCUACUGGUAGAGAUUCAAGUGUGUUGUGGAACUUAAUGACAGCCUCUAUAAAAAUCUGCACUCGACGGAGCUUCAGAAAUCGAAGAGGCGUUUGCUUUCUCAAAAGCUGGGCUGCUCAGAGACCACGAGGGCCGAUCUCAGAAAUCGAAGAGGCGUUUGCUUUCUCAAAAGCUGGGCUGCUCAGAGACCACGAGGGCCGAUCUCAGAAAUCGAAGAAGCACCUGCUUUUGCAGCCUCGUCAGCACCUGUCACAUGCACAAUCAGCUUUGCGGAAAUUACGGGCAAUCUGUCGAAGAUUUCUGGUGAAGUAGAAAGCACGUGAAUCUUAUUGUUCAAUCACCGCUCUCCAUAUGCACCAUCAACUCCUCGGGUACCACAUAUAACUUUGUCAAAGAUCUCUGACAAAGUUUAGGCACGAGAAUUUCGAAGUUCCAGCUACCCUACUAUUACCCAUAAGGGUAAAGGAACAGCACCACUGCUUGACAACUGGAAAGUCCCUAUGUGUGUCGACCUCCGUGUUUUGCGGCAAGACAGGUUGGCAAGAACGUCCAACCUUUACUCACAUUCGAGAAAAGACUCUCAACAUAAUUACUUUCUCAAAAACCGGAGUAGCACCGCUUUCCGAAUCUCGAGAGUCAGAUCCUCGACGGGAUUGCUUGUUCGAAAACCGAAGAGGCACAACUCUCAGAACUUCGAGAGCCAGAUUUCCUUAGAUAAAGCUUGUCUGUAAUCUUCACACGUAAUAUCAGCUUUCCAGAUACCACAUACCACUUUUUCAAAGUGCUCUGACAAAAUUAAAACACGUGAAGCUGGUAGCUCCCACUACAUUGCUGUGACCAAGAAGGGUAAAGGAAUAGCAUUACUACUUGUUAUUGGGAAAUCCCUAUAUACAUUGACCUCCCUCCUCAACGGACAGGCAAACCUGCAAAAAUGCUCAACCCUUUCUCGCAUUCGAAAAGGCACCCUCAACAUAACCUCUCGAAAUACUCAGCUUUAUUUCCCCCCGAUAAUACCUCAGCAAAUAAGCCACACCAAGAACAAGAGUAUCUCAUAUCAUCAGGGUCGAAAGCAAGAGUAUCCCAUAUCAUGCUUUCUCCCUGUCUUUGUCUUUGUCCUUGUCCACACCUGCAGGACAAGGAGAAAGAGAGCAGUCAGUCGGAACCUGAAAUCAAACCUCCAAUUUGGAACUGACUGCCUGGAGCCUUUGCCUGGUUGCUUACUUAGCAUUGCUCUCGAGUACUCAUCCUCAACUGCUGUCAAGGUCACGAAUUCCACCGGCAAAUACCUCAUAACGGUUGAUCAGAUAUUGGCUCUUUACACUGAAGCUGCCAAGCGUGGAUGAGUCACUAUGAAGGAAUGUUCUGAAGGACCAUUUAAAUGCAAAGGUUGCACACCACUUCUGCCAUGCAAAAGAUUGAAGCAGAAGGUUCAACGGUGAUCUGAAACAGAUCACUACAGCACGACACCUUUCCAUACCACAUUCAUUAUUCCGUCAACAGCAAAAGUAUCCCAUAUCAUCAAGGUCGAACGUACUCUAGAUUUGAUGGACUUGUUUUGACCCUCAAAUUUUUGAGUCGGCCUUAUACUCUGAAGGGCACCAGAAAACCCUCCAGUACAGUUCAAGAAUAAGCCUGUGGAAAGUUACUUCUUCAAAAGCAAAAGUAUCUCAUAUCAUCUCUUAUCCAUUUGCUUCUCCUUAUCCUGGCAGUUGAAUGAGAGACAAGGAGAAGGAGAACAAUCAACCGGAAGCCGAGGUCAAACCUCUGAUCAUGGGUUGCUUACUUGGAAGUUUGACUGCUUACCUUGUCUGUCACCUCUUUCGGCAGAUCUCCUAGCUCGGCGACUUGGGGGACUCCUACUAUAGGGUUUGUAUCACACUUGACUAAGCCCGAAACUACAACUAAGCUUCAAGUGAAAUUGAUACAUUACCUUGUGCAUCUUCAUCAGCUAAAUACACCAUUCCCGGAUGGAGGAAAGGUACUUCCAGAGAAGGGCAGAUGAAGAUCAGACCACACUUCGGUACUUAGAAGUUUCGUGAUUACUCAAGGGAUUGGAUCUUGCAAGUCCCCAACCGAGGAGUUUCCCUCACUCGGGAACUUAGGGGAGCACUGUUUGUACCAUACUUGACCAAUCCCGAAACUACCGAGCACCGGCCAACGCUAUACUGUCAAGGACCCAGAAGAGUUCCCCUCCGACCAGGAGGCCAAUCACUACUCGACACGUGUCAAGAUUAGAAGCCAAUCAGAGCGCAGCACGUGUCGACAUCAAGAACCAAUCAUAACAUGACACAUGUCAAUGUGACAAAGCUACAAGUUUUUCUAUAAAUAGGGGUCAUUCCCCCACAAUAUUGCCUAAUGCCAUUUGUGUUAAAUCAUUCACAAGAACUCACUAAAUUGAGAGCUUGAUCCUUUGUACUUGUGUAAGCCCUUCACUACUAAUAAGAACUCCUCUACUCCGUGGACGUAGCCAAUCUGGGUGAACCACGUACAUCCUGUGUUUGCUUCUCUGUCUCUAUUUAUUUACGUACUUAUCCUCACUAGUGACUGAAGCAACCAAGCAACCAAGCGAAGGUCACAAAACCUGACACUUUCUGUUGUACCAAAGUCUUCGCUGAUUUUGUGCAUCAACAGAUCUCAAUUUAUGGUUGUCGAUUCAAGUGAAUUGAAGAGGACCAAAAGACAAAAAUUAACAUGGAUUGUGUGGAAAGUAAAAAGGAAUAUGUAGAUAGUGUUGAAUAAAGCAAAGAGUCUCACAUCGGUCAUCAUACAAAACAAAUCACAACUUAUAUCAAAUGUCCACUUCUAAUUGCAUCAAGGUCUUUUGCAUAAAAACCCCACACCUAUUGAUUGCACGGGUGAUUAAUGAGGACAAUAUUAAUGCUAUUAGUGGUGGACCGUGGCGUGUUUCUCUGAAACUUUAAUUUGGUUUCAGAGUGAGUUUUCAAACAUGACCGAUGUAGCUUCACAUCUGGUUAACUCCAAAGAGGCCCAGUGUGAGGGGCAUGUUGAAUAAAGCAAAAAGCCCAACAUCACCCAUUAUACAAAGCAAAUCAUAACUUAUAUCAAAUGGUUCCACUUCUAAUUGCCUUGAGCCUUUUUGCAUAAAAACCUCACAACUAUUGAUUGCACAAGUGAUUAAGUGGAAACAACAUUGAAGUUGUUAGUGGUGGACUGCAGCACAUUUCUCUGAAACUUUAACAAAUAGCACCACCCUAUAUAAAUUGCUAUUUAAUAUUAUCAUCUGGCGAUAUUAUUCUUCACAUCUUAAAUUCGAUUAUUCAAAUCGUGAUAAUAAUGCAGAGUAUUCUCAACUGCAAAAUUGGUUACUGCUCGAGGAGUGAGGAUCCUCGUCGGAUUCUCAAAUCACAUCCGUUCAUCGUAUAUUGUGCAGUUAGAAAUCAUUGUAAAUUUUUUUAUUUAAAAUUGAAUAUAAACAAUAUCUGACAAAAAUUGACCGCACGAUAUACGAUGAACGGAUAUAAUUGGAAGAUCCCCGAUAUCUUCACAAAGAGGAUCCGAUGAGAAUCCUCUCACCUACUCGAGUACAAGGAUGCCUCUCCGUUACACAUCUCCUACUUUAAUUUCCUUUUCUACCCUUAUUUGAAUUUUUUUUUUUUUUUGAAUAAGCGAUAUUAUCUAUACUAGGAGGGAGAGGUGAGCUUAGCCUCACAAUAAUGUGGUUCAAGUUUUUCUUUAGCGAGAAUCAAACAUGAGACCUCUCACUCACAAGUGAAGAGGAAUACCGAUAGAUCUUAAUACUAAGUGACUCUUAUUUCCAAAAUUACAAGUGAAUAAACCGUUAAACAGUGAAGGGUAAUUUAGUCAAAAGACUGGGGACAUUUUGUAUCUGCCAAAAAGGCCAACGAAACCCACAUCACGGCUUUUGAUUUUUCGUCCGUUCCACACAUCUUCCGCUUCUGCUGUUGCUGCUGUUGCUUCUUCUUCGCUUGACAUCGAACUUACAAAAAAAGCAAAUAAAAAACAGAGAGAAAGAGAGAGAUAUGGCGAGAAGGCCGGACGAGGAAUACGAUUACUUGUUCAAAGUGGUAUUAAUCGGCGAUUCUGGCGUAGGGAAAUCCAACCUCCUCUCCCGAUUCACUCGCAACGAGUUCUGUUUGGAGUCCAAGUCCACCAUUGGCGUCGAAUUUGCCACCCGGACUCUCCAGGUUCACCUCCUCUCUCUCUCGUUCUCCUGUAUAUAUAUAUAUAUAUAUAUAUAUAUAUAUAUUACACACACACCCACUAACCCGAUUGUGUUUGUAUUUGUAUUUGUUACUGGACCGGAAUUGAUCUCAUUCUUUAUGCUCGUUCUUAAUGUUUUUUGAGUUAAUUGGAUCUGGGUUUUCUGAGAAAUGCUUAAUUGAACCUGGAUUUGGAUCGGUUUCCAAUUUGUAUAAUGUGACAUUGUUCAGAUCUGCUAGUUUUCUUGGUUCCAGAAUUGAAUUGGGUUUGUUGAAUUCUCGAGAACCGAUUAAAUUUGGUUUGUUCUUCACUCCAUGGGUACCAAGUUAGAUUUCGUAAUCUGCUUACUUUUCUUUUGAAGUUUAAGCAGAUCAUAUAGUUACUAAUGAUGUGAGAAAUGAGAAAUGGUGUGGAAUUAAAGAUUGAUUGUCCCCAAAUCCGAUUGCCUAUAACAGAAAUCCAAAUUCCCCAACUAGAUACUGAAAACUAGCCCCCGCUUUUUGGAAUCGGUUACGGGUAGACAUAGUUGGGUUAGGGAGUUUGCUCUUUGCUUGCCUAACAUUGACAUUCACUUUGCCUUAUGAGCCCUGAGGGAGUCUUGGGAGGGUUGGUCAUAUCUUCCCCAAGUUAGUUUCCUGGUCUUUUUGUGGUGUUUAGAUUAUGAUAUCUUGACUGUGUAGGCAAGAAAUUUAUAUGUCAAUUUUCAGUAACUUGUUUAAACAAAUCUAGGAGUAACUUAAUUAAACAAAUCUAAGUAGUAGAGCAAUACUGUUGAGAUAACAGAUUUCAUGUAUGAAGACUGAAGAGGAAGGAUUAAGACAGGAUGUUCACGAAACGAUGAGAAGUGUGGGUUUCCUCAAACUAGUAUGCCGCCCAAUGAUUAGGACCUUUUAUUUUUCAGUCCUCCAUCAAGAUUAUCAAUUAGACAAAAUUGGAAAUCAUUUGGCCAUUUGAUGACAAUCAUUAUAAUUUCAAUUUAUAAGAUCAGUUGUGUUUGUAUGCACAAUAAAUAAUCUUUGAAGUUGAACCUAAGAAAUGGAUCACAAGUUGAAGUGACUGGGGGUUUGAUUUCCGCAUUUUUUCAAUGAUGUGGACAUCUCUUGGUCCUUCCCUAUAUGUGGAUUUGUAUUAAACAGGUUCACUGAUAAGUUGCUUGAGUUGCUUGUGUUGGUGAUACUCCUUCAUAUGUUUGCCAAACUUUUUACUCGUGUUGAAUUAUUGUCUGUACUUGCUGAACUUACCGAAUAUUUUGGGCCAAGCUGUCCAAAGUUGGGAUUGGUCAGGUUCAUACAAGCAAAGUCUCACCUCUAUCACCCACCACUUUAUUGCAAUUAGAUCACAUCUAAAAGCUUUCCCACUUGUAAAAGUAUCAUGAGUUGAAUAUCAUGCUCUAUAAGACCUCCCUCAGUCGAUAAGACAAUAUUUUGGCUUACACUUGAGUGGAUGAAUAUUGUGCUGUUUAAGACCUCCUGUUCAUUUUGUCAGGUCGAGGGGAGAACUGUGAAAGCUCAGAUAUGGGACACAGCAGGACAGGAGCGAUAUAGAGCAAUCACUAGUGCCUACUAUAGAGGCGCCCUUGGAGCUUUACUUGUCUAUGAUGUAACAAAACCAACAACAUUUGAGAACGUAAGCAGGUGGCUGAAGGAAUUGAGAGACCAUGCUGACUCAAACAUUGUGAUCAUGAUGAUUGGGAACAAGACUGAUCUGAAGCAUCUACGUGCGGUUGCCACAGAAGAUGCCCAGGGCUAUGCCGAAAGAGAAGGCCUUUCAUUCAUUGAAACAUCUGCUCUUGAAGCAAUCAACGUUGAGAAGGCUUUCCAGACAAUUCUGGCAGAGAUAUACCGUAUUAUUAGUAAGAAGUCUAUCUCAUCAGGCGAGCCAACACCUGCAAGCAUCAAAGAAGGGAAGACAAUUGCAGUCACUGGAGAUUCAGAGGUCAAUACAAAGAAGGCUUGCUGUUCUUCAACCUGAGGUUGAUUAAAUUGAGUUUUUCCGGUAUUUGUUCUCUUCCUCAUUACGUAUUCCUCUCUGUCGUGGGUUAUUGCUUUCAACUUAUUCUUGUUGCUUAGUCCUUUGUCAAACUAUAAUUUAUUUGUCCGUUGCCCGGGAUUUUUCUGUAAGGGGUAUAUUUAUGAGGUAUAUAACAGUGAUGAUUAGAUGGAUGAUACACCUAAGUAAGAUUAAGCCUCACGAGGUUUGGAUUGUAUUUGUAGAAAUACUUAUACAGGUCAGAGCCAAAAUUAUUACGUUUCACUUUCACCUAUUUACUAGAAACUGCAUUCCAACUAUUGCUAUUAGAAACCGUUACGGUACGCUUGGUUUGAGGGAGUCAUGGAGUAUUGGAAGGCUAUGCCUAUCCUCUCGCUCCGAAGUCGCGAUAAUUAUUUUUGUUCGGUGUUUACUUUGAAACGAAAAAUAGUUUUGCGAUAUUCAACAUUUUUUAGGUUUUCUAACCAAAAUGAUCAUUGGGAUUGACAAACUUAGAUUUAGGCACAUUGUUUCUUCAAUAUUGGGGUUCCAAAACUGUCACCUUCACCUCGAAUGGAUUGAUUACUAACCACAUGUCAAACAAAUCUAGACAAAAUCUAGACCAUAUGCGGUUUAUUAAAUCCAUCUCCAGAUCCAGACAUAUUGUUUCUUCAAUAUUGUGGUUUGAAAAUCGUCGCCUUCCUCUAGAAUGGGUUGAAAUACUAACCACGUGUUGAACAAAUCUAAAAAACACUAAACCAGAUAUGGUGUGUUAAAUCUAUCUCUAAAUUUAGGCACAUUGUUUCUCAAUAUUGCAGUUCUAAAAUUGUUGCCCUCACCUAUAAAAUAGCUCAAGACCAAGGACUAUACACACAAUUAUAAUGCAGUCAUGUAUAGUUCUCUAAUUCCAUAUCAAGAGUUGAAUUCCACUUUCAAAAUGAUGGGGUUAAUUUUUGAAACAUUUGAAGACCAAGAUGAAAAGGAGGAUGUUAGCUUUGUAGAGCUAAAAGUGCGCAAUUCAAAACUUGAAUGAUUUGCCAGAGGUAUAUAUUCGCAUUAUUGUAUCUAUUCAAUUUUUAAUUCUCUCGUUUUAGCUACAUUUUGUUUUUUUUUUUAUGUUCAUAACUUCUUUGCUUUUGCAUUACAAGACGAGUCUUGAGUAAAAGAAAUAUUGCUUCUUUGUAACUAAAAGAUCACAGUUUGAAAACAAUUUCUUUGCAAAGCAAUGGUCCCCUUUCCCGACCCUCAAAAAAUGGAGAACUUUGUUGGCUUGAAAUCACCCUUUAUUUCUUUAGUUUUGUUAAUUGAUGUGUUUCACUCAACUGUCCAUUAUUUUGAUUUUGGAAUUUGAUCCCAAAUUCUAAAUAAAUGCAAAUGAAAAUUUUAAUUCAACCGGAUUGACCAAAGUGGCGAGGAUAGGGUCACGAAUUUGAUUUUCUUCCGUGUAAAUGAAAGAAAAACAUCAAUUAAAAUGCUUUAACUCUCCCUUAGCCCCCCAAAAAAAAAAACCAUUUAUUUGAUGAAGGAUGCCAUCAAACCAAACCUUUGUAGAAGAGGGGCAAAGUAAAGAAAAUAUCCAAAUUUUUGUAUAAGUUGAUUUGAUUUUAAGGAUGUCAGUCAAAUAGGUCGGACAUGCUGAAAGGUCAACCCAAUCCUAACCAACCAUUCACAAUUCGGGUUUGAAUUCGAUUAAAGUUCACUCAGGUUUAACCAGGUUUGGGUUCACUUGGGUUUUCGGGUCCAUCCAUCAUUUGGGUUCAAAUGCAGAGUGCAUUUUUUCUCAUCCCCUAAAGUGAUGCCGUUAGAUUAGUGUAAAUUUCGAGUUCGUGUCAUUUAAAUCAAACUAAUCUAAUGGCAAUCAAUGGGGACGGGGUGAGCAAAGAACACUCUUCAAAUGCAACUAUCACUCUUCAAUCCUGCACGACUUUUUCCUUGCAUUUUUCAACAUUUUUUCGUUAAUCCUGCAAAUUUUUUCUUUCGAUCGUCUAACAGGCAAUAGUUUUUCCGUAGACAAAGAUUCAAGUAGGCAAUAUUUUACAAGUUUCUGAAAGAUCCACAUGACACUUCAGUCAACACAGUUCCACUGUCUUAGGAUUUUAUAACAGAUUUGAUACUAGGAAUGGAAUGACUAACCACAACAAUUGCUGUUUUGCUGAAUUGGCUGGCCCUUCAUUUCUACAGCUCCGCUCGACCUGUUAGCAGCUGGUUGGUUUCCCAUUCUGUAAAAUUUUAAAAGAACAAUUACGAAGAUACGAGAUUACAAGCAAGUAAAACCACAAUUUAGUAUCUGUCCACAAAAUUAAACAAUAACAAAAACAAAAUAAAGUGCUAUCCCGUAAGAUCAUUUUUAAAUACCUCCUCUUCUUUUAGGUGUAGUUUAAAGAAGAAAUAUACGACAGCUUUUGACAGAUAUUUUACGGUUAUCAUCGGAGCAAUUAUUAUGUUAAGGGAGUUCAGAAUCAUAGCAUGAAAGAGUGGAUUAGUGGUUUUACUUUUUCUUUAUCUCGGCAGCCAUGGUUAAGAAAGCCUGCUCAACAUUGAUCGAGUCCUUAGCACUUGUCUCAAGGAAAGGGAUCCCAAGCUCGUCAGCAAAAGCCUACAGUGCAUCAUUACAAACAAGAUAGAAAAGUUAAGCCACAGCAAGAAAUUAUUAACAAAUCAUUGUUAUUUAUAGACAGCUUGAUAGACAACGAUUGUAUUUUCAUCAAUGGGAAAUCACUUUCUCCGACUCCACAUUCAUGGGAAUCAUCCAGAACGUCAUUAGGAGCAUUUCAACCUCAAACACCCACUCUACUAAUGCAAAGCACUUCGAGGUACACUUCUUAAUGUCAAAAAGAAUUUAUAUUACAGCACUAUAAUAUGCAAUAAACAUAACCAGACUUGUAACUGGAAAUAAGAGGUAAAUAACAUGCAAAUUAAGCGACACGCAAACACGCCCACAGUUUAACAGUUUUAUGGAACGGGUUUGAUGCUUUUAGCAGACUGAGCAUAUCAAUUGCCCAAAAGCGUGGUGAAGAAGAUAAGCAAUUAAAGUUUAGGUCGUUUAGGUCGUACCCAGUGCACAAGGCUCCCGCUUUACUCAGGGUCUGGGAGAGGUGAAUGUCGGCUAGCCUUACCCCCAUUUAUGGAGAGGCUGCUCCCAAAAGAUAAGCAAUUAAAGUAAACUACUUAAUUGUUCAGGCAACUAAACUACAAUAUUUACCUUAGCAGUUUGUGUGUCAACAACCUUGUUCUCAACUAAAUCACAUUUAUUACCAACCAGAAGCUUGCACACGCUGUCAUUUGCAUAUCUGUCAAUCUCAUUCAGCCACUGCUUCACAUUAUUGAAGCUCUCCAUCUCGGUAACAUCAUACACAAUCUGGACCAAUUCCAGUAGAAUUAAGACUCUUUCAUUUACGGUAAAGAAUGAAACCACACAUUACAUUAGAAUGUAAUAUCAAAAAGUCAUGCAUAGUUAAUGUUGCAGAAUAGCUUAAAAAAAACUAGCUUUCAUUAACUACUGACUUUAACAUAGAAAUGAAAGAAAGAUAGUUAAGGUAAUAUUAAGCGUUUUGAUUUUUUAAAAAAAAAAAAAAAAAAACAUAUACAAAGAGGUAUCAAUAAUCUACAUCACAUUUAUAACAUUCUCAGCUAACUUCAUCUUGCAGGUUUGAUCAAUUGCAGCAAAUCAUGUGCAUCCAUCCCAGUUAAGGGUUUCUAGUUCCAGGGGCUCAAGAUCUAUUCUUUACCAUUAAGUUUCCUCAACCCCGCUAACCCCAAAGGCACAGAAGAAAAUACUAAAAACAAGUAAACAAUCUUACAAUUAUCCCAUGUGCUCCUCGGUAGUAACUGCUUGUUAUAGUCCUGAAUCGCUCCUGUCCAGCAGUAUCCCACUAAAUAACAGAAAAGAUGAAUAUGUUAAUUUCCUACCGAAUGUUGAUUAAUCAACAAGCAAGAGCAAUUGAACACCCUAUUCAGUUUUCCAUGAGGGAUCAUAAAUAACAUUUCCAAUAAAUAUCCUGUCUAUCAAUUUAAUACUUCUACUGAUCUGCCUAGGUAAGACUAGGUGAACUGGACUUAGAACUAUUCUCUCAUGACAGAAACAUACAAUUUUGCAGUCGUUUCGGAACAAAAUUUAUGUUAAGUUGAAAUUGUUCAUCAAGAAUGACACUAAAGAAAAGGCAUGCAAAUAGACAGCCAAUAAUGUUCAUUUAAAUCAGAAGCUUAUCAAAUUUUGGAGAACAAUUUUAACCAAAAGUCCAAUAUACACACGAAAAUAAGAUAACGCCAAUUGAUUCAAAACCCGUAAUAGACCCAUAACAAAAAAAAAAAAUUAUUUUAGUCAAACUCAAACAUACAUGCUAAAUCAGUUAUGGUGAGAUAGAACUGGUUAAGAUGGUUUGGACAUGUGAACCAAAGACCUAUAGAUGCUACGGUUAGAAGAUAUGAUUAUGAGACAAAGGCUCAAGACAAAAGGGGCAAAGCAAGACCUAGGAAGAAUUAGAAGGAGACUCUAAGAAAAGACAUGGAGUACUUGGAGCUAACAAAAGAGUUGUCGCAAAACCGAGCGCAAUAGCGUUCUAAGAUUCAUACAGCCGACCCCACUUAGUAGAAGAAGACUUUGUUGUUGUUGUUAUACAUGCAAAACUCACUGGUCCCAACAAGUAAUUUCAUUUAAUAGAAAAAGAAAAACGAAAGCAACCGCUACUCACAAUCUGCAGCUUGGCUGUCUUGCCAUCCAGCUCCACUGUUCUGAUUUUCUGAAAAUAAUAAGCAAAUGUCAACAAAUAAACCAAAAACAACAAAGCAAUUAUACAAACAUAAAUAUAUACAUAUACUCACAAAAUCAACUCCAAUGGUGCUUAUGUAGCUGUCUACAUAGGAAUCAUCCUGAAAGCAAAAAUAAAAGACAGCAAAAGGCAUUAAUUUGAGUACCAAUUACAGAAAAUAUACCUCAAAACCCUAAAAUUUAUUUCUAAAUUAGCACAAUUUUAAUUUUUAACCUAAGGGAGAAAAGAGAAAUGACUGACAGCGAAUCUGAGAAGCAAGCAAGAUUUUCCAACGGACGAGUCCCCGAUUAGCAAAAGCUUGAACAAAUAAUCGCUAUAAAAAAAACCCAAAAAAUGCACAGAAAAUCAGUAAGAUAAAAUUUAGGCACGUGAUAAAAAAUGACAGAAAUGGGAAGUUUGGGGGAGAAGGAAAAUAGCGCUUACUAUUCGUUGCUCAUGAUUGAGAGUCGGCAAAAAUUGAAAUCGAAAAUGAUGGGGGAAGAUUUUUGGGGAUUAAAAGACACAAGGAACACAAGGGGCUCUUUUGUCUUUGUAUUGUGCUCUUCUUCCUUCCUUCACCUCACACGUCAAAUCCUAGACACUUCAAAAGCUCUUCCCGCGGCCCCACGUUAACGUUCAUCGUUUUUUACGGAACUUUAACGAAAAAUUUCUAUACUGUUUAUUUUAAUAAAAAAUUAUAUUUUUACGUUAAAAAAUCAAUUUUGUACUAUUUACUUUACCUUUUAUUUUCUCCUUAUUGUUAAAACUCAAAGUUUUCAAGUUUUUUCAUUAGUUUUUUUUUUUUUACCUUCUUUUUUUUUCCUUUUCCUUAGUUGAAGCCGAAUUUUGUUGAGAAAUUUUUUAUUGUGAUCGAAAUACGAAUGGUACACCACGUGUUUUUACAUAAGUGGAGAAAAAUUUUAUUUUUAAAGUUAUUAACUUUUUGACACACAUAUCCCACCAUUUGUGUAAUGACAUGGUGUACCAUCUCAUAUUCCGAUCACAUUAAAAAAUAUAUCCUCUUUGUGAGGAUUUUGGGAAUUCGUCAUUCUUGUCCGUUCAUCGUACAUUGUGCGGUCAUAAUUAUUUUAAAUAUUUUUAUUUUAAAAUUAAACACAAACAAUAUUUGACAAAAAUUGAUUGUAUAAUGUACGAUAAACAGACACAAUUCACAAAUAUUUAGGAUCAUCAUCAAAAGAAUCCGAAAAGGAUACUGUUGGGUUGAAGCCAAAUAUGCUAAAUAGAAAAUGAUGAUAUUUUUAGUUUUUUAUUGUAAAAUUUUAGUUUUGCAUUUUUUAAUUAGUAUAAUGAUUAUUUUUACAUGUAAAUCACAGAUAAUUAGUUUGAUAUCACAUUAUUAAGGCAUAUCUAUUAUUUAAUUGGAAGUUAUCACACAAAAUUUAAGUUUUCAUUGGAUCAGCGUAUGAAUUUAUUGUUUGAUAAUAUGAUUACUUUUAGUAUUUUUGUAAUUCAGUUUAACAUGAUUGUACAAAACAUAUAGAGGAGGACUCGUGAUUGUAAUUGAGGUAUUCAUCUCCACAUGAUUUACAAAGAUUUAUAAACUCAUUUGAUUAGACAAACAAAGAUAACAUGUUAAACAAUGGAAGUGCUAGUAUGACUUUGCUUGUCUAAUUUUAUAAAUCUUAACCAAUGGCACAAUCCGAGAUCUAUAUGCUUUAAUUUGGGGUUAGCAAACAAGCAAGUUUAGUGGCUCCUACACAAUCCAGAUUCUUUGGUUGCCAAUCUGCUCAAGCAAAAUAUCAUCAGAAAUAUGAUUUGCCAGUUGCCAUAAUAUUAUCAUGGUGUGCUAAUUUGCAGAAAAUGAAGAUUGAUUGUGAAGGAAGCUGCUUGUUUUGUAACGAACGGUCGCAAACAACCGAGGAUGUUUUGUGCGACUGCUCACUGGCUGUCGGAGUUUGGAGGGCUAGAGGGAUGUUCGUGAGGGACUGCGUGACAAGCUUAGCCUGGAGUUGCCUAGGCACAGCUUUGCAUUCGCUCUUAUGAUUCUAUGGAAGUCAAGAAACUCUUUUUUGUACCAAGGGUACUCUAUGCUGCCGCUGGAGAUCUUCGUAAUCGCGGAAGAUAGGUUGAUUGAAUAUCUACACCAAGAAGGAGGAGAUGGGAAGGAAUGAAUUUUCAUCAUAGCUAAUUAUAUUCUAAUCCCUUCCAAAUGAAAAGAAAUUCACUCCCACCAAAUAUCUUGAAAUUUGAUAAUCUCCAAUUCAAUCCAAUUAUGUGUAUUAAACGAGCCCAUAGGCUGACAAGACAAGGCAUGGCUUGAUGGCAGCACAAGAUCUCAUUUGGUUCAAGGAGCCUCUGAACUUAAUUGUUGAUCUUCUUUAAGAGGAUAGUCAAACUAUGUAAUUAUAGUGUGAGAUGUUUUCUUUCUUUCAAUCGAGUUGAAAUUCCGACAAUUUUUUUUUUUUUGAGACUCACCUUAAAACACCGUAUCCUCUUUGUACGUAAUCUUUCACAAUAUUAAUGAAUAUCCUACUUUUCUAAACAAAAACAUUGGCAAAAUUCAAUGGUUGAAGUUGACAUGAGAUCAUGAUUCAUGGCACAAAGCUUAUCUAUAAGAGCAACUGUAUGGUAUGAACUCACCACCACAAGUGUUUCGAUUCAAUAAUAUAAUGUUAUAUAAAGUAAAACUUACACAUAAUUAUGAAGAAUUAGAAUGGAUGGUUCUCUAAAAUCAGUUAUAUUUUCUAUUAAAUUAUCUAAAAAAUGAGCAACUUCCAGAAGAAAAAAACAAAUUAAAGGUCUUUAAAGUUAGUGGGCUUUUAUCACUCUAGCCCAUAAAGAUGUCCAAAACAACAACGUAGAAGGAAAAAAAAAGAAGAGUCAGCUUCUCUUUCAUCUUCCUCGCAAGAAAGCUGCUGCAAUCCUGCAAUUCCUUCACCUCCUCCAUGGAUGGACUAGGUUUUGAAUGGACUAUAACAUUAUUUGACAAAAUAAUUGCCUUGGCGUAGCCUAUAUAGUCUUUGGAGUAGAUCUCUCCACUUGCCAAAAUGUUUGGAGGGUCCCCAAAGGACCUUCAUGGGCAUUUUUCCAGCUUUCGGGUGGUUCUGAGACCAUCUUGGUCCCUCUAUGGAUCCACCCUUGCUCGCAUCCAAUAAGAGCAAGACUAGUUAGAAACGAGUAUAGAGAAAACCUAGCCAACAUAAUGAAUUGUAAAUCUAGUGAAUUGAUAGUAAGGAAACCUGCACUAUAAGUUAACUGACUUUUAAUAAAAUGAUCUUGAUUCUUUUCUACGCUUAUGCUUUGCUUGUUAAAGAUUUCAACUUAUAAACGUACAUACAUGGUAAACACAAAGUUUGAAAGAGUGAUUGGGAUCGAAACAUGGGCGUCCGGAUGAGUUCUAAGCUUAUCGGGCUAAGAACUGGUGUCGAAUCCUUGAAAAGGGAUACGAUCGAUGUCUCCAAGUAGAUUAGCAUGGACGUGAAGCAAGUUGAUUAACCAUAACGUUGAUUUUUCAUCAUUGUCUUCCAAACCUCAGGCCAAAUCACUCAGGAUAUUCAUUAAUAUUGUGCAAGAUUACGUACAAAGAGGAUACGGUGUUUUAAGGUGGCCAAAUCAUUGUCUUCCCUCGCACAUUAUUUUUAACGAGUGAGCCAUCUUAUUUGGUUAAAUCUCAACCUUUGCGUUUUGUGUUUUAAUGCGCACAAUAGUAUCAUCUAGAUUUAAGGCGAAGUUGCUCCGAAAUGUUGGGCCGCUUCUUGAUCUGUUUGUUAAAGCAAAAGGACUUGGCCAAAUUCACUGUUCAUUUAAAAAUCAAGGUCCAAUAACAUAUUAUUAUCUAUUCUAAAAUUGAAGGGGGAGCGGCACUGUAGCGGCGUCAUUCUUUGCCAGCAUGGAUUGGGAGGGUAAUUCUCAAAAGUUUAGAGGGUUAUUAUCUAUUCUAAAAUUGAAGGGGGAGCGGCACUGUAGCGGCCUCAUUCUUUGCCACUCGAUUUCACUCUAUUUACAAAAAUACCGGCCAAAUUGCAUGGAUUGGGAGGGUAAUUCUCAAAAGUUCAGAGGGUUAUUAUCUAUUCUAAAAUUGAAGGGGGAGCGGCACUGUAGCGGCCUCAUUCUUUGCCACUCGAUUUCACUCUAUUUACAAAAAUACCGGCCAAAUUGCAUGGAUUGGGGAGGUAAUUCUCAAAAGUUCAGAGGGUAAUUUUGUCCAUAUAGUUUAGCAGGGAGCCACUCGAUUUCACACUAUUUACAACAAAACCGUGAGGUUUGGGCUGGUAUUGGGGCUGGGUUGGAAGGGCAAUUUUGUCCUGUGCGUUUGAGACGGAUUGGGGUGGGUUUGGGUUUGCUGUCAUUCAGUGAGGGUUUCGGGGAUGGGAGGCCAUGCCUCCGAUACAGAGAGAGAGAGAGAGAGAGAUAGAGAGAGAGAGAUAGCGAGCGAUAGAGAGAGAGAGGGAGAGGUUAGGAUGUCAGUGCCUUAAUGUUUGAUAUGGUGACUGGGUGGGUGACAGUGAAAGAAAGAGGAUGGGUCGUCCGGAUUACGGGGAGAGAAACAGAGAGGGAAGGGUGGGGAUGGUGAACAGGCCCAAGCAUGUUCCCUCAGUCCGGGAUUCACUCACGAUCGUCCAUGCCCUGUUGCAUGUUCAGAUAAGUCUCUUUUUCAUUUGGAUUUUGAACUAAAAUCUUAAUUUUUUAUUAUUUCUUGCAUUUGUAUCUGUUGACAUUUUUUGGUACGUUAGGUCAGGUUUUGGGGAUUCAUCUUUCUAUUUAUUCCCUUAUUUGUUUCAUUUUCUCUCUUUUUGGGGAUUCAUCUCUCUGUUCUGUCUGUUUGUUCUUUGUUUUAAGGUCAGUUUUUCUUUUUUUUUUUUUGGGUUUUCAGUUGUUAAUCUGUGAUUCUGUGUUUAGAUUUUUCUUUCGUAUAUGAUUAAAUCGUUAAUGGGUUUUGGUUGUUGAAAUAUUUUUUUUUUGGGGAGAAUUUGUGUUUGGUUGCCGGAUUUGAUUUGGCUUUUGCUUUCAAGAAAACUGGGGUUCGAAUUUUGGGCCGAGCCUUUAUGAUUCGAUCGGAUCGAGGUGAUGGGGACACAAGUUCUGUCGGAAUAACAGAAACGAUUGGUUAUGUGGUUUUAGGUAAAUAUUCACAUCCUCUCCACAAUAUCUUUUUUCUUUUCUUUUAAACUUUUGCAUAAUUCAACUAUUUUGUUCUCAAUUUGCUAACAAUAUUUGGGAAGUGAGGCAUUAAUAACUGGAUACGUCUACAAUUUUGGAAUUCUCUUGCUAGAGACUUGAGCCCCCAUGAAGUUUGAAAAUUAAGAAAACUUGAUCUCACUAGUAAUUGUUACCAUUUUUAAAAAGGUUGCAUCCACAACAAGCUUUCUUGCAAUGAUACUUUAGGGGAACUAUGAAAAAAAUCAGCAAUCUCACAGUCUAGCCCCUCAAAAAACAUACACUUCAAAAUUUCCAUUCAUAGUUAGGGUCGCCCUGCUAGGGUAACUUUCAUAUUAGGUAACACCAGCGUGAUGUCUGAUGUGAGAAAAUAUUGGGUUCCAUGUAUUUGUUUUUUUUCAUUUUGGAUGAUUGCCAAAAUGAAUUAUGGAUGAUAAUGCUAUUAUGUAUGGUUGCCAAAAUGUUUCCAGUCAGCUUCUGGACUCAAUGUGCUUUAAUGGUCUUGGUCCUUGGCGUUCACUGAAAGUGCCAAACAAUAGGUCCCAGUAGUGGAAGUAAGCUAGUCAAGUCGUCUAAAAAAAACAAGCCAAAGUUGUUUCUUGUUAUCAUUUACUUGGAUUUUUUCCUUCUCAUAUUUGAAUUUUCAAGAAAAAGAAACUGUGGUGGAGGUUCCUCCUAUGAUCCUAUCCUUCUAUAAAUUUCCUUGUCAUGUAACAAAUGGAACUCACCAAAUUCGCAACUCAACACCCAUCUCUCUAUUUCUUUCUGCUUCUCUCUCUAGUUAUAUAGUUAACCAUAUCAGAAAUGGGGGUUUUGUUGUUUCUUAAGCAUUACAUAUAUAUAUAUAUAUAAUUUCAAUCCGAAUCACAGCGCAUGAUAAGGAUAUUAUGGAGGGUUGGAAAUAUAUAUAUAUAAAUGUGUGUGUGUGGCGCAUGAUAAGGAUAUUAUGGAGGGUUGCCAAAUUAUUUCCACUCAGCUUCUGGGAUAAAGGUGCUUUAAUGAUCUUGGUCCUUGGUGUUCACUGACAGUGCCCAACAAUAGUUCCCAUUAGUGGAAGUAAGCUACUGAAGUCGUCCAAAAAACCAGUCAAAGUGGUUAUCAUUUACUUGGACUUUUUCCUUCUCAUAUUUGAAUUUUCAAGAACCAGAAACUGUGAUGUAAGUUUAGGGAUGGGUAAACUAUGUUUGGAUAAUCGCGGUUACCUACCUAUUUAAAGUUCACGGUUAGGAUUAUGGGUAACUGUUUAGAUGAACAAACAGUUAUGGGUAUAAUCGUUUAUCUGUGAAAUUUAAAUUGGCGGUUAUGAGUAUUACCCACGGUUAUAACAGGUAUCCAUCGGUUAUGGGUAUUACCCGUGGUUAUAACGGGUAUCAAUUUACCCAUUUAAUUUAAUAUAUGUAAAAUUAAAAAAAAAUAAAAAAUAAAAACCCUAUGAUCCUAUCCUUCUAUAAAUUUCCUUGUCAUGUAACAAAUGGAACUCACCAAAUUCGCAACUCAACACCCAUCUCUCUAUUUCUUUCUGCUUCUCUCUCUAGUUAUAUAGUUAACCAUAUCAGAAAUGGGGGUUUUGUUGUUUCUUAAGCAUUACAUAUAUAUAUAUAUAUAAUUUCAAUCCGAAUCACGAUAUUAUGGAGGGUUGGAAAUAUAUAUAUAUAAAUGUGUGUGUGUGGCGCAUGAUAAGGAUAUUAUGGAGGGUUGCCAAAUUAUUUCCACUCAGCUUCUGGGAUAAAGGUGCUUUAAUGAUCUUGGUCCUUGGUGUUCACUGAAAGUGCCCAACAAUAAUUCCCAGUAGUGGAAGUAAGCUACUGAAGUCGUCUAAAAAACCAGUCAAAGUGGUUAUCAUUUACUUGGACUUUUUCCUUCUCAUAUUUGAAUUUUCAAGAACCAGAAACUGUGAUAUAAGUUUAGGGAUGGGUAAAAUAUGUUUGGAUAACCGCGGUUACCUACCCAUUUAAAAUUCACGGUUAGGAUUAUGGGUAACUGUUUAGAUGAACAAACAGUUAUGGGUAUAACCGUUUAUUUGUGAAAUUUAAAUUGACGGUUAUGAGUAUUACCCACGGUUAUAACAGGUAUCCAUCGGUUAUGAGUAUUAUCCGUAGUUAUAACGGGUAUCAAUUUACCCAUUUAAUUUAAUAUAUGUAAAAUUAAAAAAAAAUAAAAAAUAAAAACCCUAUGAUCCUAUCCUUCUAUAAAUUUCCUUGUCAUGUAACAAAUGGAACUCACCAAAUUCGCCACUCAACACCCAUCUCUCUAUUUCUUUCUGCUUCUCUCUCUACUUAUAUAGUUAACCAGAUCAGAAAUGGGGGUUUUGGUUGUGAAAUUGAUCUUAAUAUACUUGUUUUUCAGUGCAGUGUUCAUUUGCUGUUGGAGCUCCCUGCAAUCGGGACUCGGAGGGAAUGCGACGGAUAGGCUGGCGCUGCUUGCCAUCAAAGCUCAAAUAAAGCAAGAUCACCAUAAUUACAACGUGAUGAGCUCUUGGAAUGAAUCCAUGCACUUUUGCAUGUGGCAUGGUGUGACGUGCGGUCGACGGCAUCGCCAAAGGGUCACUAACCUGGACCUGCAAUCUCAAAAUCUGGUAGGGAAACUAUCCCCAAGCAUCGGAAAUCUAAGUUUUCUACGGGAGCUGUGGUUGCAAAAUAACAGCCUCGGUCAUGAAAUUCCUCCACAAAUUGGGAAUUUGCGUAGGUUGCAGAUAUUGCGAUUAGACGUUAACUCGUUUAGUGGCAGUAUUCCACACAAUUUAUCACAUUGCUUCAACCUUAUCCUUGUGAAUUUCACUCGCAACAAGCUGGUGGGUAAAAUUCCUUCAGAAAUUGGAUUGCUGUCGAAGUUGCAAGAAUUUGUGUUAAAAUUUAAUAAUGUAACGGGACAGGUCCCUCCUUCCUUAGGGAACCUUUCAUCUCUCCAGGUACUAAGUCUUUCUAGUAAUAACUUGAUGGGAAACAUCCCCAGUUCUCUUGGCCAAUUGAAAAAAUUAACCUUCUUGGGAUUGGGGUUAAAUCGGUUGUUUGGUAGCAUCCCUUCCUCCAUUUAUAACAUGUCUUCUCUUGUUACAUUUUCCAUUCCAAUUAACCAAAUUCAAGGGAGUAUUCCAUCAGAUAUUGGCAAAAGUCUUCCUAAUCUCGAAAUCUUCAUCGUCAACUCAAACCAACUCACUGGGUCCAUACCCCCCUCAAUAUUCAACGUCACAAGUGUUUGGUAUUUUGAUGUUGGGAUUAACAACCUAAUCGGACGGGUACCGAAUCUCCAAAAGCUUCACAACCUCCUGCAUUUCAGCAUUCUAAAUAAUAGUAUUGGAAGCGGUAAAGAUGGUGACUUAAGUUUUCUCUCGGACUUGACCAAUGCCACGCAGUUACAAGCGCUGAUUAUUAACGACAACAAUUUUGGAGGGACAUUGCCCAUGUCAAUAGCCAAUCUCUCAACCAAACUUGAAUGGUUUUGGGUUCACCGUAACCAAAUAUAUGGAAGUAUCCCAUCUGGGAUAGGGAACCUGGUGAGCUUGGAAACGUUGGGUUUGGGGAAAAAUAGCUUCACAGGUAGCAUCCCCUCUGACAUGGGUAAGCUUUCAAACCUUGGAGCAUUACAAAUUUCCCAUAACACAUUAUCAGGAAAUAUUCCGUCUUCCUUAAGAAAUUUAACCAAGUUAUUCUAUCUUGAAUUGGAUGGAAAUCAUCUUGAGGGCAGCAUUCCUUCAAGCCUAGGGGAAUGCCAUUGGUUGCAAUCGUUGUCUGUUUCUUAUAACCUCCUAAAUGGCACAAUACCCAAACAAGUUUUUAGACUCCCCUCCUUAUCGAUUUCUUUGGACUUGUCUAAUAACCUCUUCACAGGUUUCCUUCCCCCGGAAGUUGGGAAUUUCCAUAGUCUAAGUAAAUUGGAUCUUUCUGAUAACAUGUUAUCUGGAGAACUCCCCAGCAGCCUUGGUGGUUGUGAGAGUUUAGAAGUCCUGCAUUUGCAAGGAAACUUCUUCAACGGGUCCAUUCCUUUGUCUAUGAGUUCAUUGAGAGGGAUUCAAGAUCUAGACCUUUCUCGCAAUAAUUUUUCAGGGGAAAUUCCGCAUUUUUUAGAAGGCUUUAGAAUCCUAAAUAAUCUGAACUUAUCAUUCAAUCAAUUUUGGGGAGAGGUACAACUGGAGGUGUUUUCAAAAAUGCGAGUGCUAUUGGGCAACACUAAUCUGUGCAGCCCUAUUGCUAAAUUUAAAGCUUCCCCAAGUGCAAGUCUAAAGAGACCAACAAACAAAGGUUGUCUCGUAGCUUGAAACUAGUACCCUUUAGUAUUGGACUUACUUCUUCAGGAAUAGGCCAUGGUGUUCCAUCCUAUUUCUUUCUUGUUGUUCGUCAAGGAAGAAAAGGAAAGAAAUUUCAUUGAAACUUUUGGGGAACAUGCAAAUGAAAGUGUCAUUUAAAGCUACUAACUCUAAAGUACGGCUCUCCUUCUCUGGGACUAUUUUAAUGGGCUGGUGUUUACAAGGUUUGACAAAUUGUGUGCAUGAUAAAACUUUUUGUUUGUAGGAAAUAAUUGUUCUUGUGUGAUCCAUGAAUGUUCUAGAUUUACGUGAAGCUUUCGAUGUGGACCGAAAUGAAAAGCUUCCAAAUGAUUAGGCACUGAUUCAAUCUCGUCAAGAUAUAACCGUGUAAGAUUCAAGUGCUUGAACUUCAUUUUUGUAUGAAAAAAGUUUCUUGGAGAAGGUUAUUUCUGAGUUAGAUUGAUUGUAUGACAUCGUUGAACCUUACGUGGAGCUGCAUUUGAUAAGUUCAUUACCCAAGAAGUUAAUCUUAUUUUCAGAGCUAGAAAUCUGCCAUUGGUGUUUAGGUGCCUGUGCAAUUUCAGUGUACAUUUUUAACGCAAAUGUCUCAAGGCCUCUAUUUUCUUAAUGAUUCAUCAAAUUGGGGAGCUUACAUGAAGAGGCAUCCACUACUCUCUUUUAUAGACACUGUACUUUAGAAGUAAAGUAAGAGAUGAAUAAAGUUGGUUCUGUGGAGUGGUUUUCUGGAUCUUUGGAUUAUCGCAGACUCAUUUGGUGAUCUCAAUGUCCAGCAACGUUCUAUUGGAGUAAUGUAUCUUUUGACAGGUUAUGUUUCAUAGACACUAGGUAAACAUAAGAGAAAAUGGUUUUUUCAUGUAUAUUCACAGUGUUAGAUUAUAGAUUUCAUGGGGCAUUAAAAUUUACUAAAAAAUUUUAAACUGAACAUUUUACUUAAUGGUUAUGUAUAUUGUCUGACAUAAAAGGCUUGGCAUUCUAUUGUUGGAGAUUGUUUACAGGGAAAGAGAUACCUACAUGACAACCAUGUUUUUGUGAUAUCUUGAACUUCAUAAUUUACAAGAAUGGCACUGGACGAGUUACUGUGAAUUGCAGAUAGCAUCACUUCUUCAAGAGAGCACAGAAAGUGUCAACGGAAAUUGCAGCAGUGUGAGAAUUCAUAAAGCUGAGAAGGUGUGGACUUGAGUUCAAUUUAUUAGAAAUUGGAAUGCUUCUUCUUUUGAGAAACUUUCUGACAAAGAUUACUGAUUUUUGCCAUAACUUCUGCACAAAGGAAUAGAAUAGGAAAGAAUUUCUAAAGUUGAUUAUGAGCUUCAUUUCUAGAUAGAGAACAUUCUAACUUCUUUAGAAUAUUGAAACUGCUUUUUUUAUGAACUAAAGAUGAAAGUUUGUGAUAGUGAAAUCAUCCAGAAAUUUGAUGUCGGAUAACUUCUUCUUGUACUUGUGUAUACUAGCAAUUUUGCACUUACAUGCGAGUCAAAUAUCGAAGUUUGACACAAAUGUUGCAGAAAUUAAAUCACCAAUUUGAGGUUCAUUGUGUGAAGAGUGUAAUUACUACUAAAGUCUUGUGACUUGGUAUUUUGCCUAUGUAAAUAACUACCAUCGAUUAAAGUUAGUUCGUGCACAUAAAGCACUAAAGUCUUCCUCCAAUUUGCAAAUGCAAUGCUACGUAGGUGACUGCUCUCAAAAUAAUUGUAUUAGCAAUGCAAACCAAGCAAAUUAAAUACAAAUUAAGUAAAGAUUCUUAAAAAUUCUUUAAUUAUCGGAUUACUUUGUUUGCAAUUACUUUAAAUCUUCUUUCAAUUUUUUCAUACUGAUCAAUUUAGGAAUAUUUUUGUUCCAAAUCCACACUCACCAAUGAUAGUGAUGCUCACUACUUAUUUCUCACCGUUAUAUAAGUUUUACCUUAUACAAGUUGAAAUUUUUGUCAACAAUCUCAAAUUCAACUUAUUUAAACCGAAAUGUAAUUAAUAUGGUAUAAAGCAUUACACUACUAUUGAGAGAGUGAUAAUGCUAAAAAUCAGCACUACAAUAGGGUGAUGAGUAGUAAAAUCACCCAAUUGUAUUAGUUAAGUUGGUGUGGUAAGUUUGGUCUUUAGAAAAUAAAAUCUGGGUACUUCGGCCGUUUCGCAGAAGAAAAAGAAAGGGGCAUUUGGUGUUUGGACAGACACAGUGAUGGUGCUAGCUACCUGCUUCUUGGUGUUUUUAAAAGAAAAUAAAAGAAUGAGAAAGGGCUAAUUUGCACCUUUGGAUAUUAUGAUGCCUAAUUAUAGGUUAUCAAUGGCUUUCUAAUGGAUAUUGCGUAAAGGUGCAUAAACAAUUUGGUUUGUUGUUUGUGCAAAAAUUCAGGUUUCAUAUCUAAAAAAAACUAUUGCAAAAAUGCUUUGUUCGCUGUUGUGCAUUGAAAUGCUGGGUGACUUGAUCGGAUUACUAGUGUAACUAUUGCAUCAUGAAUAAACCUUUCAAGCAUUUAUCAUGAUGAAAAAAAAUGAAUGAAGAUAGUCCAACCUAUAUCGAUAAGAAGAAGAGCAAUUUAAUGAAUUACUUCAAUAUGAACAAAAAAGAUAGCAAGUUCGGCUUUUGAUACAUAUAUCAAAUUGAACAAAAUGGAUUUAAAAAUUUGUUUCCUAAGAUACAGAAGCAACAUGCAUUUAACACUUAUAUUUGCCCUUCAAGUUAAGAUGGCAAAAUAUAUGUCCUGCAGCCCAAUCACGUGUUUAACAGCUAAACAAAAUAGCAAAAAAAUGUGGUCUUGUUUCAGCAUCUAAUCUUUCAAGCAUAAUGUAUGGAUUAUGUUGAAAUAGUCAAGAUCCUAUUUGUUUUUUAUUGACUGACUGCUUAGUUCCAAAACAUCAUAGAUAACCAUAAUCCAUUCAUUUAUAUUGUCAAUCCCAUCUGACUUUGAACAAGCUGAGCCUUGCAUUGUUAAUUUAAAUAAAUGGCUCAAUUUUCCAAAAACUGUGACCGAUAGCAUUGCAAUUCAAAAUAAUGGCUAAUUUAUUGUUAAUCUCACAUUUCAAUAACAAAUGGCAAAUCCUUGUCUUGUCACAUAAACAUAAGCACUUUUAUAAAAUUCAAUUUAUUCAACACCGCAAAUCCCCUUAACUCAAUCAAGUAACAGUGUUUUCUUUUCUAACACAAAACCAAAAGUAUUCCGAAAAUUGUCAAUCCCAUAACCGAAAAUUUGAAAACAACUUCAAUUCCAUUUCCAAAUGAAUUAACCAAUUCCCAAACUUUCCGAGCAUACCAAAACAGAGGAUACCCCAAGAAAACCCAACACAUCAAACAGAAAACCGAUACGAUCAAUAUUAUUCAUGAGGAAUUCGAUGCAUCAUUUUACAUCCAAUUCAAUGCAAUCAUAUCCUUUUGUAACAAAUCCAUAUUGUCAUUUUACAUUCUACAUUCAAUUUUUCCAAUUCAUAACAUUAUAAAUGAAAAACAACAAACAUUUAAAAGGAAGGAAAACAUAAAAGUAAAAACAGAAAAACGAAUCAAUGUCAACACAACUAGCGAGAAAAAAUGAAUAAUAUGCAUAAUAAUUUAGAUUAGACAAAAUUUAAAGGAUUGGAUAGAAAUAUUUAUAAACAGGAAAAGAUUUAAAUCUCCUAUUU